GCCGGGUGCGGUGGCUCACGCCUGUAAUCCAGCACUCUGGGAGGCUGAGGCGGGUGGAUCACCUGAGGUCAGGAGUUCAAGACCAGCCUGGCCAACAUGGUGAAACCCCAUCUCUA
ensembl:misc_RNA Metazoa_SRP Metazoan signal recognition particle RNA